rnacentral:rRNA from 1 species
AACGCGAAGAACCUUACCAAGGCUUGACAUGCAGGGAAAAGCCGUAGAGACACGGUGUCCGUAAGGGUCCUGCACAGGUGGUGCAUGGCUGUCGUCAGCUCGUGUCGUGAGAUGUUGGGUUAAGUCCCGCAACGAGCGCAACCCUUAUCCUAUGUUGCCAGCGGAUUAUGCCGGGGACUCAUGGGAGACUGCCGGGGUCAACUCGGAGGAAGGUGGGGAUGAGGUCAAGUCAUCAUGCCCCUUAUGUCUUGGGCUGCAAACAUGCUACAAUGGCCGGUACAGAGGGCUGCGAGACCGUAAGGUGGAGCGAAUCUCAAAAAGCCGGUCUCAGUUCGGAUUGGGGUCUGCAACUCGACCCCAUGAAGUCGGAGUCGCUAGUAAUCGCGAAUCAGCAACGUCGCGGUGAAUACGUUCCCGGGCCUUGUA